GUGUGUGUUGACGUUUCAUCAAAACAAAGGCAGAUCAACUACGUGAGAGUCCCGGGCUAGCAUUUUAUCGCGAUAAUUCGUCGCAAGUGCCUCGCGUCUCUACGUCGUGUUGAUACGUGUACGCGCACGAAACGAAUCGUCGUCUGCAUGCGUCUCUUCGGAUCGCCGUACUAUUCGUGAUUGUUGUUUAGCAAAAAGUCUAGUUCUCUUUUUUCCUUGUGUAUUAAAUAUGUUUUCCUCGGCGAAAUAUAGUUCAGACGAGCUUUUAGGGGAAUCAUGGGUGGAGGUGAACUCGAUAUCGUCGGAAAGGCGAACACCACUGCCAUUCAGCAGUUCGGAAGAAUAUUUACGACUUUUAAGAGAAGCACAGAGAGACUCAACUCAGUCGUCAGCAAGGCAUUCUUUAGCAUCUUCACGUCGGGGUACUCCUGGAGCUAGCCCAAAGAGUCCACCAAACAGCCCUAAUACGGAACUCUGUACUGAAGAUGAGCUCAAAGGCGUCUACAUAAAUUACAGCAACAAGGAAGGCGAAAUCUUGGACAAAAAUAUGGAUUGGAUUUAUGAGUGGAGCUCACGUCCCGACCAGGCACCUCCAAAGGACUGGAAAUUCAAGCAUCCACUUGGUGUGACGAAGAAAAAAUCUUAUAGCAUUCGCACUGCAAAAGUUGGUAAAAAUGGAUUGUUUUCUAAAGAAGUUCUUUAUACUUUAAUCAUCACAAAUGUUCUAUCCCUAUUGCUUGGAACUGGUUUUGGGGUUUGGCUCACCAGGCGAGGUUUAAUGAUGUCCCGCGUUGCUAUUGAGUGAAGAUAACGAAGUGAUGUUAAUUAGGAUUGUCGCAUUCUAGACUUGCAAGAAAGAGGAGAGGAAUAUAAACUGAUAAUUGGAAAGAAUGAAAAGACUGAAAAGCCAGUUGGGAGAGUGAUGAGCCUAAAAAAAAAAUUACAGUUUAAAAAAAAAGCGCAUAAAUCUUUGAAGAUCGAUAAAUUGGGAAAAAAGAGGCUGGAAUAAAAAAGCAGCGCCAGCAGCGAACGAGAGAGAACGAGAGUGAGACUUAUUGUUAGAUGGAUUGUGUUUUAAGUGUGAAAGUAUGCAGAUAACGAAAUAAAAUACGAAGAUUCUCAUUCUAUUCUAAAACAA